ensembl:snRNA U1 U1 spliceosomal RNA
AUACUUACCUGGCAGGGGAGAUACCAUGAUCACGAAGGUGGUUCUCCCAGGGUGAGGCUCAUCCAUUGCACUCCGGGUGUGCUGACCCCUGCGAUUUCCCCAAAUGCGGGAAAGUCGACUGCAUAAUUUCUGGUAGUGGGGGACUGCGUUCGCGCUUUCCCCUG